AGUUAUCUGAACCUUCGGGGAACGAUAACGGCGUCGAGCGGCGGACGGGUGAGUAAUGCCUAGGAAAUUGCCCUGAUGUGGGGGAUAACCAUUGGAAACGAUGGCUAAUACCGCAUGAUGCCUACGGGCCAAAGAGGGGGACCUUCGGGCCUCUCGCGUCAGGAUAUGCCUAGGUGGGAUUAGCUAGUUGGUGAGGUAAGGGCUCACCAAGGCGACGAUCCCUAGCUGGUCUGAGAGGAUGAUCAGCCACACUGGAACUGAGACACGGUCCAGACUCCUACGGGAGGCAGCAGUGGGGAAUAUUGCACAAUGGGCGCAAGCCUGAUGCAGCCAUGCCGCGUGUAUGAAGAAGGCCUUCGGGUUGUAAAGUACUUUCAGUCGUGAGGAAGGCGGCGUCGUUAAUAGCGGCGUUGUUUGACGUUAGCGACAGAAGAAGCACCGGCUAACUCCGUGCCAGCAGCCGCGGUAAUACGGAGGGUGCGAGCGUUAAUCGGAAUUACUGGGCGUAAAGCGCAUGCAGGUGGUUUGUUAA
rnacentral:rRNA from 1 species